UACGAAGAGUGCAAACGUUGCUCGGAAUUAUUGGGCGUAAAGCGCACGUAGGCGGCUUAGCAAGUCCCAUGUGAAAGCCCACGGCUCAACCGUGGAAGUGCAUCGGGAAACUGCUGAGCUUGAGUACUGAAGAGGAUCGCGGAAUUCCCGAGUAGAGGUGAAAUUCGUAGAUAUGGGGGAGGAACACCGGUGGCGAAGGCGGUUCUCUGGGCAUUACCUGACGCUGAGGAGCGAAAGUGUGGGGAGCGAACAGG
rnacentral:rRNA from 1 species